GUGACGGAACUGAAGCCCGAAUGGCUGGUGGAAAUUGCUCCGCACUACUACCAACUAAAAGAUGUGGACGACGCUGGUUCAAAGAAGCUGCCCAAGGGCCAAGGACGAGCUGCAUUGUAGACUGCCUGGACUCAUGAAGCCAGCGUUUGGACAGAUUAGAUGUUGCGUAAACAGUUUAGUUUCGAAUAUCGGAUCGGGAUCCCUUUUCUACCUUCUCUUAGAUUACAUUAUAUCACUCACCAGGUCCUGUCAACAUGACCCACCGUUCUUGUACAAGUUUGUGGGUGUGGGUAGAGCUGUAGACAGUUUGGCACAACCCAGCGUUGAUGCCGGGACCCUCAGUCCUUCGUCAUGCUGGUUAUCAAACAAACAUACAUUGGCUACCACUAUACUACAAUCCA
rnacentral:rRNA from 1 species